UAUGGAGGUUCCCAGGCUGGGGGUCUAAUCGGAGCUGUAGCUGCCUGCCUACGCCAGAGCCACAGCAACGCAGGAUCCGAGCUGCGUCUGCAACCUACACCACAGCUCAUGGCAAUGCCGGAUCCUUAACCCACUGAGCAAGGGCAGGGAUCGAACCCACAACCUCAUGGUUCCUAGUCGGAUUCGUUAACCACUGAGCCACGACGGGAACUCUUAGCACAACAGUUUUAAACUACCAGCAAAUAUGCUGUUAAAAUGAAUUCUCCCUUUCAAUCCUGCAGCCUAGUUCUCUAGGUUUGCCCCUUCAGGAGGCAACCAAAUACGUAUUAUUAGAUUUAGUUCAAAGAUUUCUUUAAGUGUUUUAAGUUAUUGGUCAAUUAGUCUACAUUUCAUUUUAUUUUCAGGGAGGGGGCACACUAUGGAUUGCAUUAUGGUCAAUUUGCUGUGCUUUUUCUUGGCAAAUGCCAGUAAACAACACUUUUUUUUUUUUUCCUACAUUCAAAUAAUCCCCAACGAGACAAUACUUACAUGUAUUCCAAUACCUGUAUUCUGAAAUAGGAUUUCCUAGAUCCUGGGAUAGGCAUGUGGUGGAAUCUGGAAUGUCUUUUGCUAUUAAAUACAGCUUGACAAAGUGAUUCUUAAUAAAGUAUGUUGGAGAUGCAUUAAGACUGGCCUUAGGAAAAAACAUGAGAGAAGGAGGAAUAGUAACAAUGACUAUUAUUAUAGUCCCCAGCUGACAUAGGUUCACCUUGAUUUUUCAACUUGAUUGUGGCGUGAAAGCAAGAGGGGUUCGGUGGAAAUCAUACCUCAUACAAAGAGUUUGUAUCUUUUCCUGCCUAGUGAUGGGGGGCAGGGGCAGCGAGCCAGGGCCUCUGGUCGGCCGCACAAUCACAGUUGUAAACAACCGAUACUUUUACAACCAUCCUGUUUUUCACUUUCAGUACACAUAAGUGUUUUAAAUGCAUUUUUGGUUUACGAUAUUUUCAAUGAACGAUGGGUUUAGCAGAAUGUAACCAUGUGGCAAGUGGAGAAAGACCAGUGUUUAUCUAGCCCUGUUGUGUGCUAAGUUCUUCAACGCACUAUUUCAAAAACUGAAGUUUAAAUGCUCAUGACAACUCUAAAAGGCAUUAGCCUGAUGCCUAUUUAAAGGUUCAGAGUUUUACCCAGGGAUCUACAAUUAGUCCCAGCCAGAAUUUAAACACAGGCAUUUCUAAUUCCAUAAUCCGUGGCUUUCUCUUUUACCUAUUAUUUCUUAUGCUGGCCCAUGCUACCUUUUACAAGGGGAUGCCUGUGAAACUGCUGACAUCACAAGAAAGGAAACAAAACAGUACUAGUAUAUGAGAAAAAUAUGAGAAGAAACAAUGGGAGCUCAGAGAAGCUGGGUUUUUUUUUUCUUUUUUUAAUUGUUAAAAAGAACUACUCUAUGAUUUAUAUAGAUUGGAUUGCAAACUGAUAUUUCCCUUUUGCAAUGGUCAUGUCUGUGGUACUUGUAAAAAUUCUGGUGUCACAUUCAGUUUCCUCUGGGAGAAGAAUGGUUUGUCUUUCUGGAUGUGGUGUUGGCAGUUUACCGUGUAAUUCAUUUGGAUGUGGAUAUUCUGACACUGACUCCUGGACAGUUGGGCUGAGGGAUGACAGAAUAUGAUGUGAGAUUCCCCACUCUGUGAUUAUUGAUGGGGUACCUUUGAUAGACUAUUUUAAUGGUUUUCCAGGGAAAAGAAUACCAUAGGUAUCUAUUGUUGCAUAACUAGUUACCCUAAAGCUUA
ensembl:lncRNA